CCCUUAGAUGUUCUGGGCUGCACGCGCGCUACACUGAUGCAUCCAACAAGUUUUUUCCUUGUUCGAGAGGACUAGGUAAUCUUUUGAGAAUGCAUCGUGAUGGGGAUAGAUUAUUGCAAUUAUUAAUCUUCAACGAGGAAUGCCUAGUAGGCGCAAGUCAUCAGCUUGCGUCGAUUACGUCCCUGCCCUUUGUACACACCGCCCGUCGCUCCUACCGAUUGGGUGUGCUGGUGAAAUGUUCGGAUCGGCCGUUUGUCGCGGUUUCCGCGUCAUGUGGCUGAGAAGUUCAUUAAACCCUCCCACCUAGAGGAAGGAGAAGUCGUAACA
rnacentral:rRNA from 1 species